rnacentral:misc_RNA from 1 species
GAUGAAGAACGUAGCGAAAUGCGAUAAGUAAUGUGAAUUGCAGAAUUCAGUGAAUCAUCGAAUCUUUGAACGCACAUUGCGCCCGCCAGUAUUCUGGCGGGCAUGCCUGUCUGAGCGUCAUUUCAACCCUCAUGCCCCCGGGCCUGGCGUUGGGGAUCGGCGGAGCCCCCCGUGGGCACACGCCGUCCCCCAAAUGCAGUGGCGGUCCCGCCGCAGCUUCCAUCGCGUAGUAGCUAACACCUCGCGACUGGAGAGCGGCGCGGCCACGCCGUAAAACACCCAACUCUUCUGAAGUUGACCUCGAAUCAGGUAGGAAUACCCGCUGAACUUAAGCAUAUCAAUAAGCGGAGGA